rnacentral:lncRNA from 1 species
UUUGGCAGGGAAGGACUCUGCUCUGAGUGGGGAGGCAGAGGGCUGAAGCCCGCUCCUGCGGCCAGGCCUCGUGGAGGGAAGAAGACUCUAGGCUGCUUUUGGGGACUUGCAUCUCAGGGUCUGCACUGGGCCCGAGUCCACCAUCAGCAGGUCCCCACUAGGCUGGGUUGGGACCCGAACCAGAAGCCAGUGAGCCCCCUGUGGGGAGAAGCUUAGGGCAGGGCCAGGAGGCUGGGCAGAGGUAGAAGGCCAGGCCACGAGGACAGCGCGGCCUGUGCACCUGCCUCAUGCACUCCGAGCUGGCCUUCCAUCGUGUGUUCAGAUCCCAGGCAGGUGAUACUGGCCCCCAGGGGACAGAGAAGCCCACACCCCGUAUUUUCCAUUUUGGGGGCUCCAAGCAGGAGGCAGCACCAGGACCAAGCACCAAGUUUCUGCCCAGGCCAAGACCUAAGGCUGAGUGAGGGUGAGAGGGACCCUGUGCCCCUAGUCCCUGGGAGCCAGGCACUCCUGCAGGCCCCUCCAGUGUGGACAAGGUUCUCACCACAGCCUGGGCUAGCCCAGCCUCCCUGGCCUGGAUGCAGAGGGAGGAGAAAAGAGGGAGAGCCUGGCAUUUUAGGGGUGUGGGGAAAUGGUUGGGACCAGGCCCCUAACUCGGGGCUCCCCCUGGGGCUGCCUGGGUUCUCUCUGUUCUCUGUCCCCAGGCCGAGGCGUGAGGGGUGUGCUAUUGGAAAUGUUCAGGAUGUAGGAGUGGGAGUGGAUGAGGAGCGAGGAGGCGGAACCCCCCACGGCCUGGCACUGACGGGAUGCCGGCCUCACCUUCAGCUUCUUGGCCUUGCCCCUGCUCCUCUUCUUGCCAUUGACACCCUUGUCACUCUGCCUGACGAAGAGCAUCCAGGCGUCCCGGGGGUCGACGCUGUGUGCACGCUCAGCGGUGGGCUCCUGGAACACAGCCAGCCCAGCAGGGCGGUUGGCCUCACUGGGCUCCUACCAAGCAGGACCCUCUUCCACUUCCUGUGUGCCCUCCGUGGAAACAUGGGGCGAGGAUGCCGCACACCGGCCAGGAGGGGUGUGCCCAGCUGACCCUCCCAGCUGCACCUGUGGCCUGUGGCCGGACCCUGACCCCAGUGUGGUUUGCAGGUAGAGCUGUAACAGGCAGAAGGUGGCGUCCCAGGAGACGGCCCCAGCAAUGGGGGUGGGUAUUGGGCAGCUGCCCUGGUUCCAGCCACAAGGGGUCUCUCAGAAACAAGCCUUGGAGCCUGGGAGGACCUCUGGUGUCACUGUGUCCCCCACAAACAGGGUCCAAGGCCAAAACUCCACCUGGAAGCCCCUGAGCCCCGUCUGCCUCCUGCUGACAGUGCCCUGACAUUUGGCUGCUGUGCCCACCUGGGUGGUUUGGCCAACUGCACGGGGAGGGGGUGCCUUCAGUCCCUGGGAAGUGGCUGGGUGUGAUGGGGCCGGGAUAGAGAACUCUGGGGGACCCCAGGCCUGGCUGCACCCCUGUCCUCUCUAGUAGAUGCGUUCCUGGCUCUCCCCUCUACUGCCCCUGAGCAUCUUCAGAAUAAACAGCACCGGCCGCCCACCCCGGCUUCCCUGGGGCAGCCCUGUCUCCCUGACCCAAGGCCCGGCCACACUGAGGGCUCCUCUGAAGUUCUCCCCUCCUCAGGCCUGGGCCACACCUCCCCAACCGGACCACCCUCUGCUCAGCAGUCCAGGCUCCAAAACCCUGGAGAGGAGGGGGCAGGGCAGAGCUCAAGAUCACCCACUCACGGCCAAAAGCCACCUGAUCACUUGACUCAAAGCCACAUGUCAUUCCCCACCCUGCACAGCCCCCCGACCCCAGAUCCGCAGGAAAACACUUUUUGUUUUCCAGAUAAUUGCACCAAAUAGAUUGGGGGCGGUGGCAGUAAUUCGCUUACACUUUUUACAAAUGCGUUCUUCCCAAUUUCCUCAAAUCAAGUUAUUUACACUUUAUCUAUUUCCCAACUUCCUUCUGUCCCAAAAGAAAAGGGGGGUUUCGCCGACCUAGUAGAACCUUGCUUUAAGUCAAACUACCCCAAAGCCAAAGUCAAGGCUGCCCCGCCGGGCUGAGGGCGGCGUCUACACGGCCCUGAGUCUCUGCGGAGCCCCGGAGCCCCGGUGCCAGGCGAUGCAGCAGCCCUCGGGGGUGAGGGCGGGCUCGGCCUCCACGUCCGCCUCCCGCCGCCCCGAGCCGGGGCGUGCGGGCGCGGGCUGGGUCUGGAGCGGGCCCGGGCGUCUUACCGGCGGACGAGCGGCCGGCCCCGCGCGGCUCUCCCCGGGGCCCCGGGGCAGCUCGUUCCC